UUGUGAGCCACCACCCCGGGGGAGCUCACCCGGGGUGGAUUAUCUUGUAUGUUCUUAUCAAAUCAAUGAAAUAUCUUUUGUUCAUCUAUCUUCUUGUUUGUUGAUGGUUCACAAUUCACCCGUCUCGUAUUAUUUCACCGAACCGAUACUGAAAUCGGAUCGUUACGGACCUAUCAUUUCGUAUCAGAGCCUCGGUGGCUCGUUUCAGUUUUCGGUUCGGUCGGAACUUUACCGCAAAACCCGUCGGAGACGUAAAACGGAUUGAAAUCUGCGUGUUGAUGUUGUUUCCAGAUCUGGCGAUUCUAUUUCUUCAUACAACGUAUUUUUUUCAUCAGAUUAAGAGUGAGAAGGUGGUCACCCAGUAGAGAAAUAGAUAAUGCAUAUAGAAAAGAAUGAUAGAAAUGCAUUGGGUUUCAUUUGGUUGUCUCCGGUGGUGAUUGCUUUCGUAUCACGUUGUGGUAUAUCUUGCUGACUUCUAAUUCUUACACUCGAUUUCUUGUUGACGGUAAAUAUUGGGUUCCAUUUCUUGUCUUCGGAGUAAAAUCUGGCUGGAGAACGGUGGUGUCUCACCGGUAUAUCUCGAUUGUCGGAAUCGAAGGGUGUUGUGUGUGAGAUUCUUAUCACCGACGGGGGUUCUGGAUACCGUUCUAUAACUUCGUGUGAAUCCAGAUGAUCUUAGAUGCCAGAGAUAUACAUCAUUUUUCCAUCAAAUCUGAUGACAACUGGUUGCGUCUGUCUUAUGUUUCCUACCAAAAUUGGUUUGCGGCCGGUCGGUUUCCGAUCAGGGCAAUUCUCCGUCGAACUGAAUGGUGUAUGACAGCGACUGAAGUUGUUUAUCAGCAAUUUGAGGUGGUCGCCGGACUUUGGGUGGUGGUACUCGGUGGAAAUGGCGGUGGCAGAUGGUGCUAAUGUGCACGAUGGAAGUUGACGGCUAGGAUAUCUUGCGGCUAGGGUUUGAUAGGAAUACAUUUGCAUGGGCUGGGGUAAUGAUGCCCCAAUGAUUGCUUUUUCUGGACCACGCGUGAUUUCCAUUUCUCAAGUUGAUCAGGCAAGAUGAAAUUUUUUAUUGGGCCACGUAUGAAUUUCUUGGCUUGUACAAAAUUUCCAGGCAAAUUGCAAAGGUUUUGUAUUGGGCCUUCAUAUAUAUUCAGGUAUGAUUUAAUUUGGAUAGAUUGAAGUCAAGGAUUGGGCUUGCUGAAUAUUUAUAGAUCGAUGGUAUUAUGUGGUCAGAUGGAUCAUGAGUUUCUACAAAAUAAUUUUCUGGCCUGGAUUUAUUAUACAUAUUUUGGGCCACGAAUAAGACUGGCCAGGGAUUUCAUGAUAUAUUUUUGGGCCGUCGAUAUUUAUGGUAUUUGGUGACAUUUGCAGUGGAUCGGGAGUUAAAUGCAAUUUAACAGAAUUGAAGAUCCUCACAAUGAAGCUAAUUAUUCAACUUUUAUCAUUGAAGUUCGAACCCUAUCAUAUGACUAUUACAAUUGUAUCUUCAAAAGUAAGAUAAGGAGCUUUGAUCGACAAGAUAUAGGAGGGUCUACAUUUGCGGGGGAAAAUGAGAAUGAGAAUUUGGGUAUUUAGCCGAUUUGUGAAGAUUCGAAGACGACGUCAGAUUUAUUUUUGAAGAUCAUUUGAAGAAUUGAUAGCAUCAUUCUCGGGGGAAUAUUGUUGGGUCAAAAUGGAGAAUGAUGUUAUCAAUUACACCGACGUUAUUUAGCGUAUUUAUGAAUUUGUAUAGGUUGCCGUUUUUAUUUGGGUUUUAGUUGGGCAUUUUAAUGAGUGUAGUAGGUUUUCCAAGCAAGAGGCGGCUUGCUUGGAGGACAAGGCUCAGGGGCUAUAAAUAGUAGAGUAAACCUCACUUGUGAGGUGUGCAUUUGAGUCACCACCCCGGGGGAGCUCACCCGGGGUGGAUCAUUAUCUUGUAAUCUUUUGUCACUAUCAAUUAAAAAUAUCUUUCUUUCAA